AUGUCUUCGAGCAUGACUGCCGAGAGGGAUGAAGAGAACACUAGGAUCGUUACCAACUUGAUGGUCAUGCAAGUGCGGGAUGGAAAUAGGCCAAACAAAAUCUUGACCCCUAGUGCAUUCGACGAAGUGGCAUUGCAAUUCAAAGUGAGAACCGGAUUGGACUACACGAGCCACCAAAUUAAAAACAAAUGGGACAAGUUGAAUGCAGAAUAUGCUUUAUUCAAGAAGCUCAAGCUAAAGGAGACCGGAGGGGGAUGGGACUUUGUUCUCAACACUGUCAAACAAGAUAAGGAGUGGUGGAAGAAAGCAAAAACUGACCUUCUAGGUUGCGGCAAGUUCCAAAAGCGUGGACUACGCAAUGAAGAAAACUUGAGCAUUAUGUUUGAGGACAUCACCAGUGAUGGCACAGAUCAUUGGAAUCCUUCAACAGGCAUAUCCCCCUCCUCUAGUGCAUCAAUACCAGAUACCAUUGAUAUUGAAGCGAUCACAGAUGUUGAUUUUUUAGAAGAUCCCCAAGUGCCACCUUCUCCUGCUAUGCCACCUUCUCCUACUAUGCCACCUUCUCCUUUCAUGUCAUCAACGAACAAGAGGCUUGGAAAAACCAUUGAUGACAAGCACAAGAGACCUAGGACUGCACAAGUGAUGCAGGAUGAGAUUACACAAAUUAAAAACAUUGCUAAGGAGUCCCAAGAAACCGUUCGAUCAUUCAUAAAGAAUGAUGAUGCCACUUUUGUUGCCACUACCAUGAAUGAAGUGCUUGCUUGUGGUAUUUUAGAGGGAAGUGAUGAACACUACAUUGCUACUGAGUUGUUCAUCAAAAGAGAGCAAAGAGAGAUGUUUCUACACAUGGGUGCUGGCUCACGUAAAGAUUGGCUUCGUAGGAAGUUUGCGAUGACGUAUGGGAAAUAG
rnacentral:rRNA from 1 species